GGGCGGGUAGCGUAGAGGUCAGCGUGUUCACUAAGCGUUUCAGCGUUGUUUCCUAGCGUUUUAGCGAGAGUCCUGGGUUCGAAUCCCAGCCCCCCCC
rnacentral:tRNA from 1 species